ensembl:lncRNA novel transcript
AAAUAUCUUCUAAGAAAUCCUGCUUUUCCUCCAUUGCCAUCCACCCUGUAGAUAAUCCGGGUAGCGCUCUCAUCCUCAUUCUCACAAAAUAGCUGCCAGAGCUCCAGCUAUCUCAUCCAAGUUACAAGAAAUAAGGAAAUAAGGAAGAGCGAAAAGAGCUAAAGGAGGAAAGAAUAUUGUCCAUCACAGGAAAACAAACCUUCUGAGAUAUCCCCAGCAGGCCUCCCCUCAUUGACCUAUUUUACUUGAACAACCUGAGCUGCAACUAGGCAAUGCGAUUUUUAGCCAGGCAUUUUAGCCAGCAACGUUUUCUCCAAUAGAAUUGGACUUCUCUUCAUAAAGUAGAAGGUGAGAGUGGCUGUUCAGUACCUAACACACCACCUUUGCCAUAUGGUUCCUUGCAAGAUUCAGCCACAUUUUCCAGUGAACCACCAGCACGUGACCUCACAGUACGCUGCUGGCCGUGCCUCUUGCAAAAUUGUAACCAUCAAGUUCAUCCACCCUCUACCACCCCCACCUCCAGAAUCUACUGGUGUGUGUGGUGUGUGCAGGAUCUACCUUCAGUCCUCCUCGGACACCAGAAACCGCAGAGCAUGCCCUUGUCCCUUGUCUGCCUGGCCAUCCUGCUAUUCCAGCCCUCUCUCGCCUGCCUCUUCCUCCAAGUGCCCCCUACAGUGCCAGGCACCCUACCCUUCUGGAGGUCGGCAGUUUGCAAACAACUUAAUGAAGGGGGAUAAUUGGGGCAGCCCAAUCUUUAUGAGGGGCCCAUUCAGGAAUCACUCUCCUCUCAGCAGCACUGCACUUCCCCAUCAAGACACCUGCCUUCAACCCAAGUUCUCAUAGAUUACCAGAGGGCUGGAUAGUAGUACUGUGACUAUAACCAGUCACAUUCGAGGGUGGUUUCCUGAACUUAGUUUGUCAUCAAUUUAGAGCCUUUUAUUCUGAGUCUUAGGCUUUAGAUGAAACUCUGGAGUGACCAGAAAAUUCCCCUUGUCUCCCAAACAUGCCCUAUUAUACUUUGUGUGGACUUUUUCACACCCAUCUGCUCCCCACAAAAGAUGCUCCCUCACCUCCCUGAUGGUGCAGUUCUAGGGUUAAUGGACUAUUCUGACCUUCAAGCCCCAUUAUUUUUUUCACAAGUAUUUAUAACUACAGAUGCAUCAGCCAUAAAUGUACAUCCCAACCACCUCAAAUCAGAGGGAAGCUGUGUGGCAAAGCUCAAGUCCAGUUAAUGGGUUUGAAACAGUUGUUGGGCUUCGAGCCUCAUUGCUUCUAUCCUUUUAAAAAGCUUUAGGGUAGUAAGUCAUACCAGAGGAGAUGCUGUAAUCCAUGUCACAGAUAAAAUGCCUAGUUUAUUUUUUCUUAUGUUCUGAACUUUAUUUAAUGCAUAGGGGCUUUGGGAGCUUCGAGAGGGAACCGGGGUGUAUGUGUAAGUGCUGGGUGAAGCUAAGAGAAAAGAAAGAAGAAUCUCAAGUAGUCUUUUCAUCAUCAAAACUCCUGCCUCUGCAGGCUCCCUCUUUCAUCCUAUUGGCUGUUACCUUCCCCCAACUUCCUCCAGGGACAGAUCAUUCCCUUAAGCUCAGACUUUCAUUCUUCAACUACCAUAGCAAUUUGGGUUGUUUUUAUCGUGAGUUCCACAAGUGAGCAACAUUUGCAGCCUUGCCUAGGAGACCUAGGUAGUACCAGGAG